UUAUUCGUGGAUAGAGGGCGCUGCUGCAUACAAGAACAACUCGAUGCUGAACUUUCAUCUGUCACGACAACAAAGUAUAACUUCUCUGCAUGGAGAGAACAAAUCUGCUUUAACUUGCUGUGAGGAUAAACCAAUGGAAUCAACAAAUAACAACAACGGGGACCCGAAAUUAACUCCAGACCCAGGAGGACAGAAGCAUGAUCAGUCGCCAGCAGAGAAAGUGUUUGGUCGGCAGCUGAGUGAACCGGGGCGCUUUGCGUACGCUGGGUUAUGUGGCGUGUCUUUGGGACAGCUGUUUCAAGGACCUGAGCAAAAACGUUUUCGUGAGACAUAUCUGAAGGGUCUUGUUCAGUGGCUGGAUCUCGAUGAGUCGGUCAUGCCGGUUAUGCAAGCGUUCCUGGCGGGGCUCGGGUUCGAAGGCACUGACACCUUCCUGUCCAUCUUGCAUGCGGAGCCGCUGCUCAGAGCCGGAGCUUUACCCAUCACUCAGGAUCUCGUGUCUUUCUCUGUCAAAGAUGGACAUUAUGAUGCCAGGGCUCGAGUUCUGAUCCGACAUGUCAGCUGUCUCCUGCGUGUGACUCAACAGCAGCUGGAGGAUUUUGAAGAGACUCUCGGAGAGAAAUUGAGAGAGGCAGUAGAGGAGAGCGAAGAAGAGUCAUCAAGAAGACAGAAGAAAGAGAGAGGGCGUAAAUUGCGCCGGUACCUGCUCAUCGGACUUGCCACUGUGGGUGGAGGGACGGUAAUUGGUGUUACAGGAGGGCUGGCGGCUCCUCUGGUGGCUGCCGGGGCAGGAGCGGUGCUGGGAGCGGGUGGAGCCGCUGUGCUGGGGUCAGCCACGGGCAUCGCCAUCAUAGCCUCCUUGUUUGGAGCCGCAGGGGCCGGGCUAACAGGCUAUAAAAUGAACAAGCGUGUCGGCGCUAUAGAGGAGUUUGAGUUUCUUCCGAUGAGUUCUGGAAAGCAUCUUCAUCUCACUAUAGCUGUGACAGGCUGGCUGUGCAGCGGCAAAUACAGUUCGUUUCAGGCUCCCUGGUCCAGUCUAGGAGCGUGUGGCGAGCAGUACUGUCUGAAAUGGGAGUCGCGUUAUUUAUUGGACCUGGGCUCUAUUCUGGAUUCAUUAUGGGAUGGGCUUGUUAGUGUCGUGGCUCAGGAGGCCCUCAAAUACACAGUGCUCUCAGGCAUAGUGACGGCUCUGACAUGGCCUGCCUCUCUGCUGGCUGUGGCCAGUGUGAUCGACAACCCCUGGGGAGUGUGCCUGAGUCGCUCAGCCGAGGUGGGAAAACACCUCGCCCAGGUGCUCCGGAGCCAACAGCAGGGAAAGCGGCCUGUCAGUCUAAUUGGAUUUAGCCUCGGAGCUCGUGUCAUCUACUUUUGCCUAGAAGAGCUCGCUAAUGAUCAAGGAAGUGAAGGUGUGGUGGAGGAUGUGGUGCUGCUGGGGGCCCCUGUGGACGGAUCCGAGAAAGCAUGGCAGCGACUGUCCAAGGUUGUGGCUGGGAAGAUUGUUAAUGGAUAUUGCAGAGGGGAUUGGCUUCUUGGAUUCCUGUAUAGAAGUUCAUCAGUCCAGCUGUCUGUUGCUGGGCUCCAGCCAAUCAAUUCGCAAGAUCGCAAAAUAAUCAAUGUGGAUCUGUCAUCAGUGGUAAAAGGACACCUGGACUAUAUGCGUCAAAUGGACACCAUCCUAGUAGCAGUAGGGGUUCCUACCAGGGAAGAAGCUGGAGCCAUGGGUGGCCAACUACAGCUGGUACAUUUAUCUCAGGAAAAAGCAGGCACUCCAGAAUCAGCUGGUCAGAACAGAGUCAAAGGGGAAGCAUCCAUAGACAUUUCAAACAAUGAUACCUCAGACACCACAGAGGCAAAUGUAGAUAAAUACAAGACACAGACUGUAGACAGGGAACGGUGCGAGAGGAAGGACUCUGAGAAUGGCUGGGAUAUCCCUGAUAUAUCUGAUUUACUGGACUCCAUCGGUGAAUGUGAGGGUGUCACUGGUCCCUGUCAAGGGAACGCACAUUCGCUAUGCACUCUCGGAGUCAAGAAACAUGUUGAACCAUCUCAAGAUCAAGGCAAAAUAGACAGAGAAGAUGAAAGUGAGACAGACUGUGAGCACACGUCCUGGGACUGGGACGACACGAACUGGACUACUGAAUGCACAAACACAACCCACCACUCGCACACUGAAGCGCAGGAGCGGUUAGUCAAUGGCAAACCUGCUGGUUCUGAGCCGAGAGCAAUGAACUCCUAAAAUGUGGGUCGGGUCCAGAUGAUAAACCUCGUUCCAAGAAACUCCUGAGAUUCGCAUUUGCUGCUACCAAGAUUAAGGGUUAGGCGUAGGGUUGCUGUGGGACUCAAAUAAACACAGUGUUUGAAUGUUGCAUGUGAAUCUCACAAGACUUUUAGCAGAAGAAGAGUUACCAUCUAGACACCACCCAGAGUCUGCGGGGAAUUCUCUGCACAUUCUCAACAUGCUGCAUUGUGUCUGUAAUCACGCAGCCUUCACUUGCAUAAGCAGUGGGUACGUAAAUUACCAAUAGACCAAAACAGUUUGAUAAUGCAAGCACUCCAAGUUAGAGGUCUUCUCAUGUCCUAAAAUCCAUACCUUACCUGAAUAUAACUCUAUAGUUUUGCCUGCCUGAUGGAUACAUGUUAUUUCUCAGUUUGGAUUUUAAUUGUGACCGGAUUUGAAAAAUAAACAUGAUUGCUUGAUAAGAAGUAAAUUGAUAGCCUAAUAAAUCAUGGAUUUGACAAUGUUAUUCACCUCAUCUCCCUGCAUGAACACGCAGCGUAAUGAAGUAAGUGGAUAUUCCUGAUCUCAUAUCUAUAAGAUGGAUUUCAAGGUAACAACCUUUCUUCCUUUUCUACGUGCGUUUCUCAAAAAUUUAUUUAACAUGAACACACAUGUUCGCCUUUAGGAUAAUUUAAAAAAUUUGGGUCUUUUUGAGUCAAUUUGGAAAUAGCACAGGAAAUUACCUGAGGCUGCUAAUACCAAACCCGACCCAUGUCCGACACACUCGUAGUAGUUUUGGACCUGAACCCUCUUGAGUCAGAUCUCAGGUUUUUGGAUCCAAGUGGACCUUUGAAGACCUCUACUCAAAGUGGCUUAGUUUGUCGAGAGUUCACAGCAAGUUUUAAGAAGUAUUCGCACACACAUACAUGAAGCAAUACAAUUAUCUAAUAACUCUACUCUAGUUCCUGUCACUUCAAGAAUUGAAUUUCUAUCCCAAUCUUUUCUCUGACUCUGGACUUCUCACCGGAGCUUGCCGCAACACGGAUGGCUCCUGCUGGCUGUAGUCAUUUCCAUCCUGGAUGGCGUGUCUGGGAGAAGGAGGGUGAGAUGGUUCGCCGGGUGAGUGAUGUGGGUAAGCGGGAUGAGUAAGAGCCUCCACCUGUCGUGCCUGUCUUCUGGCCGCCAGCAGGAUCCGGCAGUAGGUGAAACAGAUGGCCGUAGAGGGCAAGAAGAAGGUGAGAAAGGUCGCCACGAGGGCGAAGGGGAGAGUCACCCGCAGGCGGCACUGCGUGGAUGGCGUCCCUGACGUGGAAAGCUGGAAGUACGAAGAGGGAUAGAAGGAACUCAACUGGGAGACUGUGGCAUUGGCCGAAUCGUUCUCGGCAAGGUCUUGGCUGCGACCCAGGCUGUGCCAGUCCAUCUUGAUCGGCAGAAAGGAAGUGAGGGCUGCCAACCCCCAAGCCCCACCCACCAGAAGCAAGGCACGAGGCGGGGUCAUGUGCUGUUUGUAUCGCAACGGAGAGAUGAUGAGGAGGUAGCGGUCCAGACUGAUGACACACAAGUUGAGGAUGGAAGCACUACAGCACAUCACGUCGAAGCACAGCCAGACGGGGCAGAAUCCGGGCGACAGCACCCAGGUCCCAGACAGCACGUUGAGCAUAGCAGGGGGCAUCACGACCAAAGCCACCAUCAAGUCUGACAGGAAGAGGGACACCAGGAAGCAAUUGGAGGUGCAGCGCAGCGACCGAUGUGCAAACACCAAGGCGAUCAGCAAAAUGUUCCCACAAGCUGUCACCAGAAUUAUGAGGGACAGCAUGACUGCGAGAAGCCAGGGACCACUGCCACUAAUGCUCCAGCCAUCACCGAUAGUACCACUGUCAUUGAUGCUCCUGUGAACAUCCGCACCUGAUGCCGCCUCUACUCGAGGGAUAGGUGAGACACUCAUCAUCGGAGAGUUGAAUAGGACUGUACGCUUCCUGUGGUCUCGAUGAAGCGAACACACAUCCAGCGUUUUUCAAAUGCAUUGAGAGAGUGAUGCUGAAUGUGAAACAGUUGAUCUGCGGGUCACCUCGCUGAAAUCUGAUGCGAACCACCUCAAGAUCAAGAUGUCCCAUUUAUAGUAAUCCUUUCCGUCUUUCCUCUGGUGAGGUUGGUGAUUUCACUCCCUCUCUGUGCCUCAGUUUUAUCAGUGCAAGGAUAUUCAGCUGCCAUCACUCCAUUUGUUAACGUGAGAUGAGCAAAGCAAUAAAAUGACACAUUUCCUAGUCACUAGUCUGGCUUCUUCAAUGCUUAGCACCAGUAUGAGCAAUUCUGUGCCUGUCAGAGUAUUUCAAAGCUACGUGUCAUGAUGACACUCUUUAGGGGAGGGCAACUGAGAGGUGGGCUUCGGUACGAGAGAGUGUGAGAGAAAGAGAGGGAGCGUUACAAGUGUAAGACUACCGUAUAGAUAUUUUUAGAUGAGUGAAUUUAAAAAAAAACUUAUCUCAGUCAGCUUCUUGCCGUUAAGGUGGAUUUCUGUUUGCUUUCUAUGCAUUUUUAUGAGCUCAAUGUUCUUUAUUCAGUAAUUGUGUGGCUGUAAUUGAGUAAAAGGGAGCGGACGAGUGCACUAGAGGUAACUGUGUUGGCAUCUUGGCUGUUCCCUGCGCCCUUCUAAUCCCUGUAUCUUCCACUUCAGGGUGCCUGCGGGAUCCGCACUCUGCCGCUGGGCAUAAAGCGUGUCUGAGCAUCGCACUCUUAAUGCACCUUCAUGCACAUUCACAGCCAAUCAUUAUUCAGAGUUCAUUGAGGCAAGCAAUUAGCAUCUAACAAAAGGCUUAUGUAAAUGUGUGAGAUGUAAAAAAAAGUAUGCAAGAUUGUUAACAAAUGAUUAAAAUGGAAUUUUACAAGA